rnacentral:rRNA from 1 species
UACGUAGGGGGCAAGCGUUAUCCGGAUUUACUGGGUGUAAAGGGAGCGUAGACGGCAAUACAAGUCGGAAGUGAAAUACCCGGGCUCAACCUGGGAACUGCUUUGGAAACUGUAUGGCUGGAGUGCUGGAGAGGUAAGCGGAAUUCCUAGUGUAGCGGUGAAAUGCGUAGAUAUUAGGAGGAACACCAGUGGCGAGGGCGGCUUACUGGACAGUAACUGACGUUGAGGCUCGAAAGCGUGGGGAGCAAACAGG